rnacentral:rRNA from 1 species
AUUGAACGCUGGCGGCAGGCCUAACACAUGCCAGUCGAGCGGAUGAAGGGAGCUUGCUCCUGGAUUCAGCGGCGGACGGGUGAGUAAUGCCUAUGAAUCUGCCUGGCAGUGGGGGAUAACGUCCGGAAACGGGCGCUAAUACCGCAUACGUCCUGAGGGUGAAAGUGGGGGAUCUUCGGACCUCACGCUAUCAGAUGAGCCUAGGUCGGAUUAGCUAGUUGGUGGGGUAAAGGCCUACCAAGGCGACGAUCCGUAACUGGUCUGAGAGGAGGAUCAGUCACACUGGAACUGGGACACGGUCCAGACUCCUACGGGAGGCAGCAGUGGGGAAUAUUGGACAAUGGGCGAAAGCCUGAUCCAGCCAUGCCGCGUGUGUGAAGAAGGUCUUCGGAUUGUAAAGCACUUUAAGUUGGGAGGAAGGGCAGUAAGUUAAUACCUUGCUGUUUUGACGUUACCAACAGAAUAAGCACCGGCUAACUUCGUG